AAUGAACGCUGGCGGCGCGCCUAAUACAUGCAAGUCGAGCGAGAAGACGUAGCAAUACGUUUGUAAAGCGGCGAACGGGUGAGGAAUACAUGGGUAACCUACCCUAGAGUGGGGAAUAACUAGCCGAAAGGUUAGCUAAUACCGCGUACGCUCCUUGGACUUCGGUUCAGGGAGGAAAGCGAUGCCGAGGGUAUCGCGCUCUUGGAUGGGCUCAUGUCCUAUCAGCUUGUUGGCGGGGUCACGGCCCACCAAGGCGACGACGGGUAGCUGGUCUGAGAGGAUGAUCAGCCACAUUGGGACUGAGACACGGCCCAGACUCCUACGGGAGGCGGCAGUGGGGAAUAUUGCGCAAUGGCCGCAAGGCUGACGCAGCGACGCCGCGUGUGGGAUGACGGUCUUCGGAUUGUAAACCACUGUCAGGGGGAACGAAUACCAGGCGUCGAAUAGGCGACCGUGGGGUGACGGUACCUCCAAAGGAAGCACCGGCUAACUCCGUGCCAGCAGCCCC
rnacentral:rRNA from 1 species